CAACUGUAGUUUAGAAACAGAUGAUCCAUCUUCUGACAUAUGGUCAGAAGGCCAAUAGUAGUCUAACUCGACAUUACAAUGCAUACACAUCAUUCAUUUCAUCUCAACAUGCAGGCAUUUUAUCAUCUCACAUCAUCACAAGAAGGCUAGGUAAAUCUUCCCCAAAAAGGUGGUGCUGAAGAAGGCUGGUGAUUCUGAGAAAAGUUAACUGUGGAGCCGAACCAGGAGCAGACCAUUUACUUGAAGUUUUGGGACGAACCACCUGAUUUGCUUCACUGCUACUGCGAUUGAUGAUCUCUUGAAACUUCUUUCUACGCUCUGCUACUAAACUGAAAACUUGAGCUGUACCAGAAUUCUACCAUUAAAAAAGAGAAAGAAAAUCAAGAGAAGUUAUUCAGUGCUAAGUGUAAAAAUAUGUUAGCGCUACAAUGUUCAAAGUUUCAUGUGAGGAUUUAUUCAAUAGAUUUGUCCUUUGGAUUGCACAUCUCUACGGUAAACUGUUCGAAGAAUGACCAUGACAGGGUCAAACUCCUGAUCCCAGACUUCAGCUAUUAUUCAAAAGAAAGUAGAAACAAAACACUGACUUCAGUCAAUCCUUGAUGACUAAGUACAUUUAAGUAUAUUUUAAAUUCAUAAGAUGGGAUAAUUUAAUUUGAUUAUAUAUUUUCUUUAAUAAGCCUGAUAUUGUGACUACUAUUCUAAGUCAAGAAUCAUAAUUUCAUCAUUAUGAAUAUUAAGUCAGCAAGAACUAAUGAGCAAAAACUAUUAAAAUGUAAAAAAGGUGUUAUAAUGUGAUAAAGCUUCACCAUAAAGGUUUAGUUCAUCUUUUUUUUGUAAAGUGACAACAGAAUGUAAGAAACACAAUGCAUUAACAACUUUGAAAAUAUUCAGAGAUAUAAAUAUGAAAACUAAAUUAAAGAACUAAUGAGC